UGGUGGAGUGAUUUGUCUGGUUAAUUCCGUUAACGAACGAGACCUCGACCUGCUAAAUAGUUCAGCGUAAACUCCGUUUAUGUAUGUACUUCUUAGAGGGACUGUCGGUUGUGAGCCGAAGGAAGUUCGAGGCAAUAACA
rnacentral:rRNA from 1 species